rnacentral:rRNA from 1 species
AUUGAACGCUGGCGGCAUGCUUUACACAUGCAAGUCGAACGGCAGCGGGGAGGAGCUUGCUUCUCUGCCGGCGAGUGGCGAACGGGUGAGUAAUACAUCGGAACGUGUCGAGAAGAGGGGGAUAACCACCCGAAAGGGUGGCUAAUACCGCAUAAAUUCUGAGGAAGAAAGCUGGGGACCUGGGAAUAGGCCUAGCGCUUUUUGAGCGGCCGAUGUCGGAUUGGCUAGUUGGUGAGGUAAAGGCUCACCAAGGCGAAGAUCUGUAGCGGGUCUGAGAGGAUGACCCGCACAAUUGGGACUGGGAAACGGCCCAGACUCCUACGGGAGGCAGCAGAGGGGAAUUUUGGACAAUGGGGGCAACCCUGAUCCAGCAAUGCCGCGUGUAUGAAGAAGGCCUUAGGGUUGUAAAGUACUUUUGUUAGGGAAGAAAAGGCAGCUGUGAAUAAUGGCUGAUACUGACGGUACCUAAAGAAUAAGCACCGGCUAACUACGUG